UAAUACGGAGGAUGCGAGCGUUAUCCGGAUUUAUUGGGUUUAAAGGGUGCGUAGGCGGAAUGAUAAGUCAGUGGUGAAAACCUGCAGCUUAACUGUAGACUUGCCGUUGAUACUGUCAGUCUUGAGUGUGGUCAAGGUAGGCGGAAUGUGUAAUGUAGCGGUGAAAUGCUUAGAUAUUACACAGAACACCGAUUGCGAAGGCAGCUUACUGGGCCAUUACUGACGCUGAUGCACGAAAGCGUGGGGAUCGAACAGG
rnacentral:rRNA from 1 species